UGGCUUAUUUUUUAAAUGAGCUGUCACUUGAGGAUGAGCCUAUGGCCUAUAAGCUUGUUGGCGGGGUAAGAGCCCACCAAGGCUAUGACGGGUAGCUGGUCUGAGAGGACGAUCAGCCACACUGGGACUGAGACACGGACCAGACUCCUACGGGAGGCAGCAGUGAGGAAUAUUGGUCAAUGGGCGGAAGCCUGAACCAGCCAUGCCGCGUGCGGGAUGAAGGCCCUACGGGUUGUAAACCGCUUUUCCCCGGGAAGAAUAACCCCGACGCGUCGGGGGAUGCCGGUACCGGGGGAAUAAGGAUCGGCUAACUCCGUGCCAGCAGCCGCGGUAAUACGGAGGAUCCGAGCGUUAUCCGGAUUUACUGGGUUUAAAGGGUGCGUAGGCGGCCCUGCAAGUCAGCGGUGAAAUGUGGCGGCUCAACCGUUUCGCUGCCGCUGAUACUGUGGGGCUUGGAUGCGGUCGAGGCGGGUGGAAUUCGUGGUGUAGCGGUGAAAUGCAUAGAUAUCACGAGGAACGCCGAUAGCGAAGGCAGCUCGCCGGGCCGCGAUCGACGCUGAGGCACGAAAGCGUGGGGAUCAAACAGGAUUAGAUACCCUGGUAGUCCACGCCGUAAACGAUGAUGGCUGGGUGUGCGCCCGCGAGGGCGCGUGCCUGAGGGAAACCAUUAAGCCAUCCACCUGGGGAGUACGGCCGCAAGGCUGAAACUCAAAGGAAUUGACGGGGGCCCGCACAAGCGGAGGAACAUGUGGUUUAAUUCGAUGAUACGCGAGGAACCUUACCUGGGCUCGAACGCUUCUGGAAUCACGCCGAAAGGCGUGAGCCGGCAACGGCCGGGAGCGAGGUGCUGCAUGGUUGUCGUCAGCUCGUGCCGUGAGGUGUCGGGUUAAGUCCCAUAACGAGCGCAACCCCUACCGCCAGUUGCCAGCGGGUGAAGCCGGGGACUCUGGCGGGACUGCCGGCGUAAGCCGAGAGGAAGGCGGGGAUGACGUCAAAUCAGCACGGCCCUUACGUCCAGGGCUACACACGUGUUACAAUGGCCGGUACAGAGGGAGGCGACCCCGCGAGGGGGAGCGGAUCCCGAAAGCCGGUCGUAGUUCGGAUCGGGGUCUGGAACCCGACCCCGUGAAGCCGGAUCCGCUAGUAAUCGCGCAUCAGCCAUGGCGCGGUGAAUACGUUCCCGGGCCUUGCACACACCGCCCGUCA
rnacentral:rRNA from 1 species